rnacentral:rRNA from 1 species
GACGAACGCUGGCGGCGUGCCUAAUACAUGCAAGUCGAACGAGUGGCGGACGGGUGAGUAACACGUGGGAACCUACCCAUAAGAGGGGGAUAACACGUGGAAACAGGUGCUAAUACCGCAUACUGAUGGAUGGACCCGCGGUGCAUUAGCUAGUAGGUGGGGUAAAGGCUAACCUAGGCGACGAUCCCUAGCUGGUCUGAGAGGAUGAUCAGCCACACUGGAACUGAGACACGGCCCAGACUCCUACGGGAGGCAGCAGUGGGGAAUAUUGCACAAUGGGCGCAAGCCUGAUGCAGCCAUGCCGCGUGUAUGAAGAAGGCCUUAGGGUUGUAAAGUACUUUCAGCGGGGAGGCGUUACCCGCAGAAGAAGCACCGGCUAACUCCGUGCCAGCCGCCGCGGUAAUUC